AUUGAACGCUGGCGGCAUGCUUUACACAUGCAAGUCGAACGGUAACAGGCCUUCGGGUGCUGACGAGUGGCGAACGGGUGAGUAAUGCAUCGGAACGUACCCAGAGGUGGGGGAUAACGCAGCGAAAGCUGUGCUAAUACCGCAUGUGAUCUGAGGAUGAAAGCGGGGGACCGAGCAGCAAUGUUUGGCCUCGCGCCCUUGGAGCGGCCGAUGUCGGAUUAGCCAGUUGGUGGGGUAAAGGCCUACCAAGGCGACGAUCCGUAGCUGGUCUGAGAGGACGACCAGCCACACUGGGACUGAGACACGGCCCAGACUCCUACGGGAGGCAGCAGUGGGGAAUUUUGGACAAUGGGCGCAAGCCUGAUCCAGCAAUGCCGCGUGCGGGAAGAAGGCCUUCGGGUUGUAAACCGCUUUUGGCAGGAACGAAACGGUGUCCGCUAAUACCGGGCGCUAAUGACGGUACCUGCAGAAUAAGCACCGGCUAACUACGUG
rnacentral:rRNA from 1 species